rnacentral:lncRNA from 1 species
UUUUCCAUGUUUCAAAUAUGACUGAACCUGACAUAUAUAAUAGAACGCAAAAGAUUCUUCAAAAUCAAACUGUGUCCGGAAUUGGUGGGUUCUUGGUCUCACUGACUUCAAGAAUGAAGCCACGGACCCUGGCGGUGAGUGUUACAGCUCUUAAGGUGGCGUUUCUGGAGUCUGUCCCUUCUGAUGUUCAGAUGUGUUCGGAGUUUCUUCCUUCUGGUGGGUUCGUGGUCUCGCUGGCUCAGGAGUGAAGCUGCAGAUCUUCACGGUUGCUAGUAACACAAUAAUAAAGCUGCUUUAUUUUCCAGUGAAGAUGUAUGUGAUAGGGAGUGGAGGAAGAAAAAGGCCAGAAAAUUCCAUAGUUAGCAAAUAUACCUUUCUUACUUAAAAUUCUUUUUCCAAUGUGAGCCUUCUAAAGAGUUACUGAGAAAUUAGGUGAGCUCACCUCAUUUAAUGCAAUAGAUAUGUUUCUGAAAAAUAAGCAAUACAUAGGACAUUGGCCAAUUAAGAAUUCUGAUGAAGAAGAAUUUUCACAUCCGAAAGAGUAAAAAUGAAAAACGGUACAAAUGUAGUGGCUUUUAAAUUUCAAAACAAAUUAUUUUGAUAAGAUAAAUAUUCCUCUCAUAAAGUGAAAAUGGAAGAGACUGCUUGCUGGGUGUUCGUCAAAAUGGAGUUAGAUGGUCUGUCCCAGACUCCCCUGUUGUUAGUUCUGAGAACAGAAGUAAUGGUGCUUCUUCAGGACUGGCUCAUAGAAACCUGCCGUGUUCAGCCCCCACAAUCCUCUCCCUUCUGCUGGCUGGAAACAAAUGACAACGAAGCCUCACGUCUUGGAGAAACCACACUGCUGAGGAACU